rnacentral:lncRNA from 1 species
GACUCUUCUCGCCCGGUUACUGCCACCUGGUUCUAAAUCAGCACGUCCCCAAAGUGCCUGAGUAUAAGAAGUGUCUGCCAGGCUGAUUGAAAGUGUAGAAUAACAGGUGAAGAAACUGAGGCACAGAGUUAGUUUAUUGCCCUAAUCACAAAGCUACAGGUGGAAGAGGAGGGUUUGAACUCAGAUUUCCUGAAUCCAAAUCUUGGUGAUGUUUAACCUAAGGUGUACUACAUCCUGAGAGCUAGCUGUCCUCAUACUCUAGAGUGGUAGAAGCCUCCCCGCUUAUCUCGGUCUCCUGCUGCCUCAUGCUGCUGCUUGAGUAGUGUGUACAGCUCCAUCAAGUGUUUCACAGUCAUGAACUGAUGCAGAGUUUACCGCUGCCCACCAGAGUCGGAGCCAUGCCUGACCAGGGCUCAGAGAAGGUAAGCAGCUUGUUCAAUAUCAUACAGUUAGUAAACCUAGUAGACCCAGAUAUUCUGUGGUUAUUUCGGAUUGUUAAAAUAAUGAUGAUAAUAAUAAUUCCUCUGUUAAUCACUGAAAGUCCCCUUCCUUACCCAGAUUCCCAUAUGCCCAGUCUUCUGCUCAGAGGCAGCCACUGUUACUGGCUUCUCGUGUGCCCAUCCAGAUAGCAGACAUCAUAAAAUUAUGGGAAAUCAGGACCAGGUGGGAUUAGCCAGGCUCCAUGGCCAUUUGACUCAUGAUCACUGCUUCUUGAGAAGAGCCUGGCAUGGGCUUAGGGACACCCAUUCCCGGUCACUGGUAGUGGUGACAAUGCAAGGGCCUUUCUCCAGGGUACUACAGUGGACCCAGCACUUGACCUGGGCAUCAAGGGCCUGAUACAGGCCACUCAGCUUCACAGGGCAGCACACUCCUUUUUUUACAAGAUGAGCCAAGAAACUCCCAGCGAGGGUAUCCAUCCAAAUUAUUGGGGGUGCUUUUCAAAAUUCAGAUUGCAGGAUGUCACCCCAGGACAAUGGAAUCAAAAUAUCUUUGAGAAGGCUCAGGAAUCUCAUUUUAAAUCUCUGUAAUAUCCUUUAGGGAAUUCACAAAAGUACACAAAGAUUUAUAUACAAGGGAACAUAAGUGCUAGGUAACUAGCUGCUGCCUUGUUUGAGUAUAUAGUUAGAAUGUCCAUAGAGGUCUGUCAAUCAGGGGUCAGUUCCACACAACAGAAUAGUAUGCAGCCAUAAAAAUUAGUCACAUUGGAGUUCCCAUUGUGGCUCAGUGGUUAACGAACCCAACUAGUAUCCAUGAGGACGUAGGUUAUAUCCCUGGCCUUGCUCAGUGGGUUAAGGACCUGGCAUUGCCAUGUGCUGUGGUGUAGGUUAUAGAUGCGACUCAGAUCUGGUGUUGCUGUGGCUGUGGCAUAGGCCGGCGGCUACAGCUCUAAUUCGACCCCUGGCCUGAGAACCUCCAUAUGCCGCGAGUGUGGCCCUAAAAAGACCCAAAAAAAAGUUUAAAAAAUUAGUUAUAUCUUCAUGCCCCAGUGUAUUGACACAUACAUCCAAAAUACACUGAUAGCAAGAAGAAUAGGGGACAAAAUGGUAGACUGGGCAUCCAUGAGCGUAGAGAAUAGUUUUGCCUGCACUUGUAUGGAUUGCCUUCUGGAAGGUUUAUAAGAAAGAAUGGUUGCUUCUACGGAGGAGACACUGGGGGACUCUUUACUGAAGACCCUUUGUAUGAGGCUUUUACCGUGUGCGUCAAAAGGAGACCAUUCUAAUGGACCUAAAGACUAUCCUGCGAAGUGAAGUAAGUUAGAGAAAGAUAUCAUAUGAGAUCACUAGUAUGUGGAAUCUGAUAAAAAUGAUAUAAAAAGAACUUAUUCACAAAACAGAAGCAGGAGUUCUGCCUCUGGCUCAGCGGUUAACGAAUCCAUGAGGACGCAGCCUUGUUCGGUGGGUUAAGGAUCCGGCACUGCUGUGAGCGGUGGUGUAGGUUACAGAUGAGGCUUGGAUUCUGUGUUGCUGUGGCUGAGGCAUAGGCUGGCAGCUACAGCUCCAAUUCGACCCCUAGCCUGAGAACCUCCAUAUGCCACGGGUACAGCCGUAAAAAGCAAAAAAAAAAAAACAAAAAAAAACAAAAA